GAUGAAGAACGUAGCGAAAUGCGAUAAGUAAUGUGAAUUGCAGAAUUCAGUGAAUCAUCGAAUCUUUGAACGCAUCUUGCGCUCCUUGGUAUUCUGAGGAGCAUGCCUGUUUGAGUGUCAUUUUAAGUUCUCAACCACAUCAAUUUCAAUGUGGCUUGGAUGGUGGGGGUUCUUUUUGCAGGCUUCUGUAAAUAUGAAGUCGGCUCCCCUGAAAUGUAUUAGUGGUAUCUGAGCUACUACAGGUGUGAUAACUAUCUAUGCCUUGGUAUGCUGCAUGAAACAGAUUGCGCCGCUUCUAACAAGUGGGAAACACAAUUUUGAUGAAUUUGACCUCAAAUCAGGUAGGACUACCCGCUGAACUUAAGCAUAUCAAUAAGCGGAGGA
rnacentral:misc_RNA from 1 species